AUGACAGAGUCGGAUAUGAGAAAACGCUGUGUCGGCACUCUUCUGGUCCUCAUGCUGAUACAGACAGGGAUGACAGACAGUGGGAUUUCUGUGUCUCACAAAUGGCAUGGAGACCACCUAUCUAUCACCUGUCGUCUCAUGGGGGACAAAGACACUGUUUCUCAGAUCAACUGGGAGAUGACCAGCAGUUCGAACCACACCACCACCAGAUUGAAACUGGGCAUCUUCCACCCCGUGUUUGGUACCUACGUGGUCCCGGAGUACAACGAUACUGUGGAGAUCCAGGGAAACGCCUCCAGCGGCCAUUACACGCUCAGGCUGAGAGGUAGCACUGUGUUGGAGGAGAGUCAGUUCUGCUGUAAAUUCAUGACCUUUCCCUCUGGAGGGCUGGAGCACUGUACAAAUACCAGGAUUAAUGAAAGCACAGAGGAGGCCCAGGUGUCAGAAGGCCCACAGGGUUUACUAGAGGAGAGACAAGUGGAGCAGUGGGCUCUGCUAGUAAUGGGACCUACCAUCUGUCUCCUCAGUAUCGCGAUCUCUCUCUACUACUGCUUGAAGUAUUGCUGCAGACACUGCUGCCGCAGGUACCUACUCGUCAACCAAACCCAUUCUCUCUCUCGCUCUCUCUCUCUCUCUCUCUCAAAAGUUUGGACACACCUAAUCAUUCCAGGCUUUUUAAAAGGUCAUUUGUGGAAUUUCUUUCCUUAAUGCGUUUGAGUCUAUCAUUUGUGUUGUGACAAGUUAGGGUUGGUAUACAGAAGAUAGCCCUAUUUGGUAUAACACCAAGUCCAUAUUAUGGCAGGAACAGCUCAAAUAAGCAAUGAGAAACAACAGUCCAUCAUUACUUUAAGACAUGAAUUUCAGUCUCUACUGAAGAUUUCAAAAACGUUGAAAGUUUCUUUAAGUGCAGUAGCAAAAACCAUCAAGCGCUAUGAUGAAACUGGCUCUCAUGAGGACCGCCACAGGAAAAUGAAGACCCAGAGUUUCCUCUGCACACCUCUAGGCUGUGUAAGGGCUAUUUGACUAAGAAGGAGAGUGAUGGAGCGCUGCAUCAGAUGACCUGGCCUCCACAAUCAUCUGACCUCCACCCAAUUGAGAGGGUUUGGGAUGAGUUGGACUGCAGAGUGAAGGAAAAGCAGCCAAAAAGUGCUCAGCAGAUGUGGGAACUAUUUCAAAGCUGUUGGAAAAGCAUUCCAGGUGAAGCUGGUUCAGAGAAUGCCAAGAGAGUGCAAAGCUGUCAUCAAGGCAAAGGCAAAUAUAAAAUAUACAUAUAUUUUGAUUUGCUUAAUACUUUUUUGGUUACUUUAUGAUUGCAUAUGUGCUAUUUCAUUGUUUUGAUGUCUUCACUAUUAUUCCACAAUGUAGCAAAUAGUACAAAUAAAGAAAAACCCUUAUAUGAGUAGGUGUGACCAAACUUUUGAUUGGUAUAUAAAUAUAUACACGGAGUGUACAAAACAUUAGGUGAAAAACAUGCUAUUUUCAUGACUCAGAGUGACCAGGUGAAUCCAGGUGAAAGCUAUGAUCCCUUAUUGCUUGAAGUGCCUUUGAAUGGGGAAUGGUAGUAAGUGCCAGGCGCACAGGUUUGAGUGCGUCAAGAACUGCAACCCUGCAGGGUUUUUCACACUCAACAGUUUCCUGUGUGUAUCAAGAAUGGUCCACCACCCAAAAGACAUCCUGCCAACUUGACACAACUGUGGGAAGCAUUGGAGUCAGCAUGGGCCAGCAUUCCUGUGGAACGCUUUCGACACCUUGUAGAGUCCAUGCCUCAACGAAUCAGGGCUGUUCUGAGGGCAAAAGGGGGCGGCAACUCAAUAUUAGUUUUGUACACUCAGUGUAUAUACUGUAUAUACAGUAUAUAUAUAUAUAUGUCUAUCAAUAUCAUUCAUCUCUGUAUCUCUCUCUUAUUUGUGUCUCUUUAUCAUUAUAACUAUCUCUCUUUUCCUUUCAAAAAAAAUCUCCAUCUCACUCUCUCUCUCUAUAUCAUUUGCUUUAUCUUCCUCUCUGUUUUCUUUUUCGCUUUUAUUUCUCUCACACUCACAUGGAACGACGGGCCUCUCUCUCUCAGUAAAGUUUCCAGUAGCACUGACUAUAACACCAAAAGUCAUCAGAUCUCAGAUAUCUGCUGUUAUAUCUUUUUUUCUUCCAGGAGGCGAGUGUUCGAGGUGGAGACUUAUCUGACAGACCAGCACACAGACUCGGAGGUAAAGUUAUUCUGUCAGCUAUUCUUCCAACUCAACAUCCCCUACAUACCUUUUUGACACAGUGGAAAAUAAAUGAAGUAUCGCAAGGCAAUUCUAACGCCAUUGAUGUAACUGAAAGUAGGCUACCUUGGACCAUUGCCAAAAUACAUUGGCCUAACUUCAUCUAAUGUAGGCUCCCUAAUCACAAGCCUUUCUAGAGUCAUAGAGAUAAAGCAUGUCCUCUCUCUAUGGCUAGAGUGACCCCUGUAACUAUAGCAACCUACGUUACCAUGAAAACCCACAGGGCACCGUCACCACGGUUAUCGCCAUGGUUUCCUGUUGUUCACUGUGAAUGACGUACAUGUGGUUAGACGUCUCGGUCAUCGCUCUGCCGUUUCUCUCUCACACACACACACAAAUACACACUGGUAAAUGCGGUUUGAUGUCUCGGCCAUCGCUCAUAAGUUUCCCACACUUUUUAUUUUUUAUUUUAUUUUUAUUUCACCUUUAUUUAACCAGGUAGGCCAGUUGAGAACAAGUUCUCAUUUACAACAGCAACCUGGCUAAGAUAAAGCAAGAGCAGUGCGACACAAACAACAACACAGAGUUCCAAAUUAAAUAAACAAAUAAACACAUAAACAAAUAAAUAAACACAAUAGAAAAGUCUAUAUACAGUGUGUGCAAAUGAAGUAAGAUUAGGCCGUAGUGGCGAAAUAAUUACAAUUUAGCAAUUAAACACUGGAGUGAUAGAUGUACAGAAGAUGAAAGUGCAAGUAGAGAUACUUGGGUGCAAAGGAGCAAAAAAAAAAAUAUAUAUAUAUAAAAUAAAUAACAAUAUGGGGAUGAGGUAGUUAGAUGGGCUAUUUACAGAUGGGCUAUGUACAGGUGCAAUGAUCUGUAAGCUGCUCUGAUAGCUGAUGCUUAAAGUUAGUGAGGGAGAUAUGAGUCUCCAGCUUUAGUGAUUUUUGCAAUUCGUUCCAGUCAUUGGCAGCAGAGAACUGGAAGGAAAGUCAGCCAAAGGAGGAUUUGACUUUGGGGGUGACCAGUGAAAUAUACCUGCUGGAGUGCGUGCUACGGGUGGGUGCUGCUAUGGUGACCAGUGAGCUGAGAUAAGGCGGGGCUUUACCUAGGGGGCCAGCCAACGAGCGCAUACAGGUCACAGUGGUGGGUAGUAUAUGGGGCUUUGUUGACAAAACGGAUGGCACUGUGAUAGACUGCAUCCAAUUUGUUGAGUAGAGUGUUGGAGGCUAUUUUGUAAAUGACAUCACCGAAGUCAAGGAUCGAUAGGAUAGUCAGUUUUACGAGGGUAUGUUUGGCAGCAUGAGUGAAGGAUGCUUUGUUGCGAAAUAGGUAGCCAGUUCUAGAUUUAAUUUUGGAUUGGAGAUGCUUAAUAUGAGUCUGGUAGGAGAGUUUACAGUCUAACCAGACACCUAGGUAUUUGUAGUUGUCCACAUAUUCUAAGUCAGAACUGUCCAGAGUAGUGAUGCUGAACGGGCGGGCAGGUGCGGGCAGCGAUCGGUUGAAGAGCAUGCAUUUAGUUUUACUUGCAUUUAAGAGCAGUUGGAGGCCACGGAAGGAGUGUUGUAUGGCAUUGAAGCUCGUCUGGAGGUUAGUUAGCACAGUGUCCAAUGAAGGGCCAGAGGUAUAUAGAAUGGUGUCGUCUGCGUAGAGGUGGAUCAGAGAAUCACCAGCCGCAAGAGCGACAUCAUUGAUGUAUACAGAGAAAAGAGUCGGCCCGAGAAUUGAAUCCUGUGGCACCCCCAAAGAGACUGCCAGAGGUCCGGACAACAGGACCAAUUAUUUUGAAUAGUGUUUACACAUGAUAGAAUAGGAUAAAAGGACAACUGGAACAUUACUUAUUAUUAUUAUUUUCAAAACAACAUGCAUAUGACCUAGUCUCUCUUGCCCCCCCC
rnacentral:lncRNA from 13 species